AAGAGGGCGUGGUCACGUGAGCGGAGGGCGGCGGACUCAACCACAAGCAGAAGGGAGGAGGGGGGGGAGCGAAGAAGCCCUUCUCCCUCGGGCUGUCCCCAGGAAUUUACCUCUUGAGGAGGAUCCAUCCUUUACCUGCCCUAAGAUGGCGGCCGCAAGGCGGGCGCUGAGGCUGCUGCCGCCUUUCACCACCUCCUCCGCCACAA